UANAACUGUUGGAACAAGUUCCUUGAUAUCAAAACCUGAAACAAGUGCUGGGACAUCAACAGGAGAUGCUUUGACUAGUAGAAUAACAGAGGCGUCCUCACUGGGGGUUUUCACUGCAACAGCAUCAACAGGUGGUCCAACUGACUCUUUGACAUCUCCAGGUGAUGAAACUACCACUAGUAGAAGAAUGCCUUUUCCUACAACCAGUUCUGGAACAAUGAUGCCAGUAGUUACAACUGCUAGUGGGAUGUCAAGAACUAGUGCAGCCACAGGAAGUGAGACUCUGUCCUCUUUUAAAGUCAGUGCUACCACAACAACAAAGCAAACUUUAACCGGUACCAGUCCAGAACUAUCAAACACUGCAACCAGUCCUGUUACCUCAGAGCCACAAACUGAUGGAAGAAGCAGUAAAAUGUCAACACCAGAUGCCAUGACAACCGCUGGGAGAGCAACAGUAGAUGUUUCAACUGGUAUACAAACAACAAAAAGUCUCACUGCCUCUGGAAUGCCAACCAGAAACAGUCCUGGGUCAGCAUCGUCACCUCCAGUCACUACUAUUCUGACUCAGUCUGCCAACCACACACAGAACAUGACAUUGGCCUUUCUUGAGGCUGUGCUGGAUAAAGAUUUCUCCCCGUCGGCUGUUAGUGAUGAGGAGUUCCUGCUAUGGCUUAGGCUUCAACUCAGACCUUUGCUAGUCAAUCUCGCUCCAACUCUGGUUAUUCACCUCUUCAKUAUUGUGAAAAACAGAAGCUGCAACAGCAGCCAAGAGAUGAUUUCCGUGCUUGAAACUGUGCAGAUGACACUCAGCGGCGAAACCAAGGCAGAGAUCUACAAAAAUAUUAUCCUCUUCCUCCAAGGUUUUAUAAUUCUGAAAAU